rnacentral:rRNA from 1 species
UACGAAGGGUGCAAGCGUUACUCGGAAUUACUGGGCGUAAAGCGUGCGUAGGUGGUUCGUUAAGUCUGAUGUGAAAGCCCUGGGCUCAACCUGGGAAUGGCAUUGGAUACUGGCGACCUAGAGUGCGGUAGAGGGGUGUGGAAUUCCCGGUGUAGUGGUGAUAUGCGUAGAUAUCGGGAGGAACACCAGUGGCGAAGGCGGCUCUCUGGGCCUUACCUGACGCUGAGACGCGAAAGCGUGGGGAGCGAACCGG